GACGAACGCUGGCGGCGUGCUUAACACAUGCAAGUCGAACGGAAAGGCCCUGCUUGCAGGGUACUCGAGUGGCGAACGGGUGAGUAACACGUGGGUGAUCUGCCCUGCACUUCGGGAUAAGCCUGGGAAACUGGGUCUAAUACCGGAUAGGAGCCAUUCUUAGUGUGAUGGUUGGAAAGUUUUUUCGGUGUAGGAUGAGCUCGCGGCCUAUCAGCUUGUUGGUGGGGUAAUGGCCUACCAAGGCGGCGACGGGUAGCCGGCCUGAGAGGGUGGACGGCCACAUUGGGACUGAGAUGCGGCCCAGACUCCUACGGGAGGCAGCAGUGGGGAAUAUUGCACAAUGGGCGCAAGCCUGAUGCAGCGACGCCGCGUGGGGGAUGACGGCCUUCGGGUUGUAAACUCCGUUCGCUAGGGACGAAGCUUUUGUGACGGUACCUAGAUAAGAAGCACCGGCUAACUACGUG
rnacentral:rRNA from 1 species